rnacentral:lncRNA from 1 species
CAGGUUUUGCCUGGCAUUCUGCAGAAGCAUUGCUGUAUCUUACCAGACAGGAAUACAGGCCGUCUCCAAACUAUAGUCCUAUUGGACUGGUGCACCAAAUAUGGAUUUGGGGUGUGCGUAAUUCAGUCCAUAGCACCCACCAAACCACAGAAGCUGCCCCGAGCUGAUGUCCCGCUAUCGGUGCGGCUGCAGGACACUGUCCCAUUGCUGCAUGGAGCCUCUCGCUGUCUGAGCCUCACCUGAAGCCGGCCCACACCAUUUUCUUACUCUAUGCAUUGGAGCGAAAAUGUUUAAUUGACUACGAUGGGUGAUUCCUAAAGUUAUAUUUGACUCAGAAAAAAAUGCAUUAGUAAAACUCCCUGUUUGAAUGUUUCUAGUAUUCACAGCCCGGGUCACUGUCUUUCUAUAACGAUUGGUAUCUGAAAUAAGAACAUGGGCUGCAACUUACAGCCUUGCUCUUUCUACUAUAUAAACUUCCCUAAUCAAAUAUUUUUCAUUAAAAAAAUGUGUUUUUGGAAAUAAACAGUUACAACCUGG